rnacentral:rRNA from 1 species
AUUGAACGCUGGCGGCAGGCCUAACACAUGCAAGUCGAGCGGCAGCGACUUAACUGAACCUUCGGGGAAUGUUAAGGGCGGCGAGCGGCGGACGGGUGAGUAAUGCCUGGGAAUAUGCCCUGAUGUGGGGGAUAACUAUUGGAAACGAUAGCUAAUACCGCAUAAUCUCUUCGGAGCAAAGAGGGGGACCUUCGGGCCUCUCGCGUCAGGAUUAGCCCAGGUGGGAUUAGCUUGUUGGUGAGGUAAUGGCUCACCAAGGCAACGAUCCCUAGCUGGUCUGAGAGGAUGAUCAGCCACACUGGAACUGAGACACGGUCCAGACUCCUACGGGAGGCAGCAGUGGGGAAUAUUGCACAAUGGGGGAAACCCUGAUGCAGCCAUGCCGCGUGUGUGAAGAAGGCCUUCGGGUUGUAAAGCACUUUCAGUAGGGAGGAAGGUAGUGUAGUUAACACCUGCACUAUUUGACGUUACCUACAGAAGAAGCACCGGCUAACUCCGUGCCAGCAGCCGCGGUAAUACGGAGGGUGCGAGCGUUAAUCGGAGUUACUGGGCGUAAAGCGCAUGCAGGCGGCCUGUUAAGUCAGAUGUGAAAGCCCGGGGCUUAACCUCGGAAUUGCAUUUGAAACUGGCAGGCUAGAGUCUUGUAGAGGGGGGUAGAAUUUCAGGUGUAGCGGUGAAAUGCGUAGAGAUCUGAAGGAAUACCAGUGGCGAAGGCGGCCCCCUGGACAAAGACUGACGCUCAGAUGCGAAAGCGUGGGGAGCAAACAGG